AAGAGAUUUUAAUAUCUCCAUUGAUGUACUUUUCCUCGGGUGACCAUAUAUAAAGUAUCGGAAACCAGACAUGACGCCUACAAUGUGUGGUGCGGUGAUGUGGUAUGAGAAUAAAUAAAGACCACAAGGCAGGUAAAACUCAGAAAGAAAGCAUUUAACCGUCACGUGUUAACAUGGAGGAAGUGUUCUAUUUCUCAAAGCAAACAUGUCACAUCCUGUGUGAACACUCUAAGAGAGACUUUUCCAUCUCCACCAAUAGGGAAUUUAUUCCCAGAGAAGAGUACAUUGACCAGAGAGUACAUCUUUAUUAUUUUCACUCACACACUUCAUAUUAGCUUUGACUAUACUGUGAGACUUUUGUAACUUUGUUAAAUACUAAACGAACAAAUAAUAAUGAAGUGAUUUUUCCCUUAAAAAAAAAAAAGCUGGGAAGGCAAUCUUAGGAUGAUAAAUGAACCUGAAAGGGAAGAGAGAAAAAUAUAUAAAAACAAAGCAACAUUUCCUACACAUUUUUUUUCAUCCAUUUGUUUGCAGUUGGACCGCUCUUCAGUUUCACGUAGGGCUUGCAUUGAGGAUGCACUUUCACCCUGUGUUUCUUUAGCCCAACAUAAUUCCCUCUCUGAAAUUCCAUUUGUGGACCAGGAUGUUUUGAAUAAGUCAGAAACCAAACCUUGUAACUAAGUGGAAAAUGUGUCUGAGAAAUGGUUUAAUUGUAUUCUCCCUCCACCUUUCUCAGUUGAAGGCCAGGAAGAAAAGACUUGGUAAGACACUGCACCACAUGUAAUACAUUGCUGGUUAGAAUUUUGAUUUGUUUUGUUGGUGGUGGCUUUGAAAUAUUCUGUGUAGUAUGUUAUACUUGUUGAAUAAUAAAUUCAAAAGUAUUUCUGAAACCUUAAAAACUGUUAAGUAGUAAGGUAAACAGAUGGGUUGCAUAACCAUUGUGAUGCCUGUCUUCUACAGCAUGUACUGCGUAAUCACUGUGCCCCUGUCUCGUACCUGUCUCGUGUGGCACUGAUUCUCCUUUUUUCCACUGUUGUGCUUUGUUUUUAAACUCAAACCUCAGCAAAAUUUCACCUGGUUUCCCAGUUUUAAGAUUUACUGAAUCAUUUAACUGAAAAGGCCUGUUUAGUCUAUAUAUUUUGGCUCUCUAGGAAACUGCUUCGAGCCCUAAGUGAGCGGAUAGUGUCCAGGCAACUGUGGACUGUCUGCUGGUAAACCAUCUUAAUGACACUCUUGGCCAGGGUGCAGCACUUAACCUACUAUGCACAGGGCUCUGGGAUCAGAACCCACACAAUAAAAUAAAAACAACUAAAGAAGAUGUGGCUUUGAUUUAACUUUAAAUUGAAGCUUUUGCAAUUAUGAUUGAGACAUUUUGUUCACAAAAAUAAAAUGCAAAGGGUUUUGUUAUUAAUGCCUUCAAUUUUGUUAUUAAUAUCAAUUUAAAUGGUUAUUUGCUCUCAUCUUACAUGUGUAUCUGUCUGUGUUGAAUAUAUAUUUAAUCAUUUGUUUAUGUCUUAUAAAUCUUAUAUAGAAUAUUUUGCUCUUUUAAAUGUGUAAUAAUACUUGGUAAAGCCUUUACUAUCUAUUAUUUCCACUUUGAUAAACUGAAUGAGAUUCUUAGAUAUCUUUAUAAUUAAAUGUUUGCAUUUUUAAUACAUUAGAUUAUAAAACUUUGGUAUUGUUUACCCUCUGGUUAUGCAUAAGUGCCUGUGUCCUGAGCUUUGCUGUUAGAAAUUUAAGACAUGAUUUAUCUCAUAUAAUCAAGUCUUUGAAGAUAAUUCCAUCUCAGCAAGCUAAACCACCAUCAAAGAAACAAAACAAACAAAAACCAUUAAAUAUUUCCUGAAGGGAAAUCAUAAAGAAAGGUAUUAGGAUGGCCUUGAUAUCUUUCAUAUUGCCACUAGGUCAGCCAUUAAAGGUACCACAAAAUCACCUGUUUAUGUGAAUUAAUGAAAAUAUAGUCAGAGCUGAAGAGCUGGCUCACUAGUUAAAAGCACAUAGUUAUCUUGCAGAGAGUCUAUGGCAUAGAGUUGAAACCUAAUUCCAGGCUCCUACUUGAUGGCUCACAACCAUCUGAAACUCUAGUCCCAAGGGAUCUGACACCUUCUUCUGACUUCUGCAAGCACCGGGGCUCAUGUGGUGCUAAGACAUACAUUUAUGCAAAACACUCAUACACAUAAAAUAAAUAAAUCAAAUCAAUAGAAAGAAAGGAAAGAACAGGAGGAAGGAAAGAAGG
rnacentral:lncRNA from 1 species